UACAGGGGGGGCAAGCGUUGUUCGGAAUUACUGGGCGUAAAGGGCGCGUAGGUGGCCCGGUGAGUCUUUGGUGAAAGCGCGGGGCUCAACCCUGCGUCGGCCAGGGAUACUGCCGCGGCUCGAGCACUGUAGAGGCAGGCGGAAUUCCGGGUGUAGCGGUGGAAUGCGCAGAUAUCAGGAAGAACACCCGUGGCGAAGGCGGCUCUCUGGGACGGUACUGACGCUGAGACGCGAAAGCGUGGGGAGCGAACAGG
rnacentral:rRNA from 1 species